rnacentral:rRNA from 1 species
UACGUAGGGGGCAAGCGUUGUCCGGAAUCAUUGGGCGUAAAGAGCGUGUAGGCGGCCCGGUAAGUCCGCUGUGAAAGUCCAGGGCUCAACCCUGGGAUGCCGGUGGAUACUGUCGGGCUCGAGUCCGGAAGAGGAGUGUGGAAUUCCUGGUGUAGCGGUGAAAUGCGCAGAUAUCAGGAGGAACACCAAUAGGCGAAGGCAGCACUCUGGGACGUG